rnacentral:rRNA from 1 species
GGCAGCGCGGGGCAACCUGGCGGCGAGUGGCGAACGGGUGAGUAAUAUAUCGGAACGUACCCAGAAGUGGGGGAUAACGUAGCGAAAGUUACGCUAAUACCGCAUACGAUCUACGGAUGAAAGUGGGGGACCUUCGGGCCUCAUGCUUUUGGAGCGGCCGAUAUCUGAUUAGCUAGUUGGUGGGGUAAAGGCCCACCAAGGCGACGAUCAGUAGCUGGUCUGAGAGGACGACCAGCCACACUGGGACUGAGACACGGCCCAGACUCCUACGGGAGGCAGCAGUGGGGAAUUUUGGACAAUGGGCGCAAGCCUGAUCCAGCAAUGCCGCGUGAGUGAAGAAGGCCUUCGGGUUGUAAAGCUCUUUUGUCAGGGAAGAAACGGCCUAGGCUAAUAUCUUGUGCUAAUGACGGUACCUGAAGAAUAAGCACCGGCUAACUACGUGCCAGCAGCCGCGGUAAUACGUAGGGUGCAAGCGUUAAUCGGAAUUACUGGGCGUAAAGCGUGCGCAGGCGGUUUUGUAAGUCUGACGUGAAAUCCCCGGGCUCAACCUGGGAAUUGCGUUGGAGACUGCAAGGCUGGAGUCUGGCAGAGGGGGGUAGAAUUCCACGUGUAGCAGUGAAAUGCGUAGAGAUGUGGAGGAACACCGAUGGCGAAGGCAGCCCCCUGGGUCAAGACUGACGCUCAUGCAC